CAGGUCACAGAGUUAAGUAUGGCAACUACUCGCUGAUGAACCUGGAAAACAACAAUUUAAUUGAUAUGCAGCUUGUUCAGGUUGGAGAUAACCACAAGAGUAAUGACAUUGGAGGUAGCCACGACUUUAUUGUGACCGACCAACAUCCUCAAACUUAUAUCUGUGGGAUCGUGACAUCCAGCAUUUUUUUGUCUGGCACCUCAAAAAGGGUAUAUCUAAGAAAUUCUUCACAGCAGAUGGGACAUAAGGACUAAAGGAAGCUACCGGU